rnacentral:rRNA from 1 species
AGCGCAUACGGUGGAUGCCUUGGCAGUCAGAGGCGAUGAAAGACGUGGUAGCCUGCGAAAAGCUUCGGGGAGUCGGCAAACAGACUGUGAUCCGGAGAUGUCUGAAUGGGGGAACCCAGCCAUCAUAAGAUGGUUAUCUUGUACUGAAUACAUAGGUGCAAGAGGCGAACCAGGGGAACUGAAACAUCUAAGUACCCUGAGGAAAAGAAAUCAACCGAGAUUCCCUUAGUAGUGGCGAGCGAACGGGGACCAGCCCUUAAGUUGUAUUGAGAUUAGCGGAACGUUCUGGAAAGGACGGCCAUAGUGGGUGAUAGCCCUGUACGCGAAAAUCCCUUUGCAAUGAAAUCGAGUAGGACGGGGCACGAGAAACCUUGUCUGAAUAUGGGGGGACCAUCCUCCAAGGCUAAAUACUACUGACUGACCGAUAGUGAACCAGUACCGUGAGGGAAAGGCGAAAAGAACCGCGGAGAGCGGAGUGAAAUAGAUCCUGAAACCGUAUGCGUACAAGCAGUGGGAGCCCACUUGUUGGGUGACUGCGUACCUUUUGUAUAAUGGGUCAGCGACUUAUUUUCAGUGGCGAGCUUAACCGAAUAGGGGAGGCGUAGCGAAAGCGAGUCUUAAUAGGGCGUCUAGUCGCUGGGAAUAGACCCGAAACCGGGCGAUCUAUCCAUGGGCAGGUUGAAGGUUGGGUAACACUAACUGGAGGACCGAACCGACUACCGUUGAAAAGUUAGCGGAUGACCUGUGGAUCGGAGUGAAAGGCUAAUCAAGCUCGGAGAUAGCUGGUUCUCCUCGAAAGCUAUUUAGGUAGCGCCUCAUGUAUCACUGUAGGGGGUAGAGCACUGUUUCGGCUAGGGGGUCAUCCCGACUUACCAAACCGAUGCAAACUCCGAAUACCUACAAGUGCCGAGCAUGGGAGACACACGGCGGGUGCUAACGUCCGUCGUGAAAAGGGAAACAACCCAGACCGUCAGCUAAGGUCCCAAAGUCAUGGUUAAGUGGGAAACGAUGUGGGAAGGCUUAGACAGCUAGGAGGUUGGCUUAGAAGCAGCCACCCUUUAAAGAAAGCGUAAUAGCUCACUAGUCGAGUCGGCCUGCGCGGAAGAUGUAACGGGGCUCAAACCAUGCACCGAAGCUACGGGUAUCAUCUUUUGAUGAUGCGGUAGAGGAGCGUUCUGUAAGCCUGUGAAGGUGAGUUGAGAAGCUUGCUGGAGGUAUCAGAAGUGCGAAUGCUGACAUGAGUAACGACAAUGGGUGUGAAAAACACCCACGCCGAAAGACCAAGGUUUCCUGCGCAACGUUAAUCGACGCAGGGUUAGUCGGUCCCUAAGGCGAGGCUGAAAAGCGUAGUCGAUGGAAAACAGGUUAAUAUUCCUGUACUUCUGGUUAUUGCGAUGGAGGGACGGAGAAGGCUAGGCCAGCCUGGCGUUGGUUGUCCAGGUUUAAGGUGGUAGGCUGAGAUCUUAGGUAAAUCCGGGAUUUCAAGGCCGAGAGCUGAUGACGAGUGUUCUUUAGAACACGAAGUGGUUGAUGCCAUGCUUCCAAGAAAAGCUUCUAAGCUUCAGGUAACCAGGAACCGUACCCCAAACCGACACAGGUGGUUGGGUAGAGAAUACCAAGGCGCUUGAGAGAACUCGGGUGAAGGAACUAGGCAAAAUGGCACCGUAACUUCGGGAGAAGGUGCGCCGGUGAGGGUGAAGCAUUUACUGCGUAAGCCCACGCCGGUCGAAGAUACCAGGCCGCUGCGACUGUUUAUUAAAAACACAGCACUCUGCAAACACGAAAGUGGACGUAUAGGGUGUGACGCCUGCCCGGUGCCGGAAGGUUAAUUGAUGGGGUUAGCGCAAGCGAAGCUCUUGAUCGAAGCCCCGGUAAACGGCGGCCGUAACUAUAACGGUCCUAAGGUAGCGAAAUUCCUUGUCGGGUAAGUUCCGACCUGCACGAAUGGCGUAACGAUGGCGGCGCUGUCUCCACCCGAGACUCAGUGAAAUUGAAAUCGCUGUGAAGAUGCAGUGUAUCCGCGGCUAGACGGAAAGACCCCGUGAACCUUUACUAUAGCUUUGCACUGGACUUUGAAUUUGCUUGUGUAGGAUAGGUGGGAGGCUUUGAAGCGUGGACGCCAGUCUGCGUGGAGCCAACCUUGAAAUACCACCCUGGCAACUUUGAGGUUCUAACUCAGGUCCGUUAUCCGGAUCGAGGACAGUGUAUGGUGGGUAGUUUGACUGGGGCGGUCUCCUCCUAAAGAGUAACGGAGGAGUACGAAGGUGCGCUCAGACCGGUCGGAAAUCGGUCGUAGAGUAUAAAGGCAAAAGCGCGCUUGACUGCGAGACAGACACGUCGAGCAGGUACGAAAGUAGGUCUUAGUGAUCCGGUGGUUCUGUAUGGAAGGGCCAUCGCUCAACGGAUAAAAGGUACUCCGGGGAUAACAGGCUGAUACCGCCCAAGAGUUCAUAUCGACGGCGGUGUUUGGCACCUCGAUGUCGGCUCAUCACAUCCUGGGGCUGAAGCCGGUCCCAAGGGUAUGGCUGUUCGCCAUUUAAAGUGGUACGCGAGCUGGGUUUAGAACGUCGUGAGACAGUUCGGUCCCUAUCUGCCGUGGACGUUUGAGAUUUGAGAGGGGCUGCUCCUAGUACGAGAGGACCGGAGUGGACGAACCUCUGGUGUUCCGGUUGUCACGCCAGUGGCAUUGCCGGGUAGCUAUGUUCGGAAAAGAUAACCGCUGAAAGCAUCUAAGCGGGAAACUUGCCUCAAGAUGAGAUCUCACUGGAACCUUGA